rnacentral:rRNA from 1 species
UUCUUGGUCAUUUAGAGGAAGUAAAAGUCGUAACAAGGUCUCCGUUGGUGAACCA